rnacentral:rRNA from 1 species
CCUACGGGAGGCAGCAGUGGGGAAUAUUGGACAAUGGGGGAAACCCUGAUCCAGCGACGCCGCGUGAGUGAAGAAGUAUUUCGGUACGUAAAGCUCUAUCAGCAGGAAAGAAAAUGACGGUACCUGACUAAGAAGCCCCGGCUAACUACGUGCCAGCAGCCGCGGUAAUACGUAGGGGGCAAGCGUUAUCCGGAUUUACUGGGUGGAAAGGGAGCGUAGACGGCAGCGCAAGUCUGGAGUGAAAUGCCGGGGCCCAACCCCGGAACUGCUCUGGAAACUGUGAAGCUGGAGUGCAGGAGAGGUAAGCGGAAUUCCUGGUGUAGCGGUGAAAAGCGUAGAUAUCAGGAGGAACACCGGCGGCGAAGGCGGCUUACUGGACUGUAACUGACGUUGAGGCUCGAAGGCGUGGGGAGCAAACAGGAUUAGAUACCCGAGUAGUC